GACGUAGGGUGCGAGCGUUGUCCGGAUUUAUUGGGCGUAAAGAGCUCGUAGGCGGCUCGUCGCGUCAGCUGUGAAAACCCGCAGCUUAACUGUGGGCUUGCAGCUGAUACGGGCGGGCUAGAGUUCGGUAGGGGAGACUGGAAUUCCUGGUGUAGCGGUGAAAUGCGCAGAUAUCAGGAGGAACACCGGUGGCGAAGGCGGGUCUCUGGGCCGAUACUGACGCUGAGGCGCGAAAGCGUGGGGAGCGAACAGG
rnacentral:rRNA from 1 species